GCCCGGGUGGUGAAACUGGCAUACACGCAGCGUUCAGAACGCUGUGCUCCUAAAGAGCUUGGGAGUUCGAAUCUCCCCCUGGGCA
rnacentral:tRNA from 1 species